rnacentral:rRNA from 1 species
UACAGAGGUCCCAAGCGUUGUUCGGAUUCACUGGGCGUAAAGGGUGCGUAGGCGGUCGGGUAAGUCUGAUGUGAAAUCUCAGAGCUCAACUCUGAAACUGCAUUGGAUACUAUUCGGCUUGAGGUCUGGAGGGGGGACUGGAAUUCUUGGUGUAGCAGUGAAAUGCGUAGAUAUCAAGAGGAACACCAGUGGCGAAGGCGGGUCUCUGGACAGUUCCGUGACGCUGAGGCACGAAGGUCAGGGGAGCAAACGGG